UACGUAGGGGGCUAGCGUUAUCCGGAAUUACUGGGCGUAAAGGGUGCGUAGGUGGUUUCUUAAGUCAGAGGUGAAAGGCUACGGCUCAACCGUAGUAAGCCUUUGAAACUGAGAAAACUUGAGUGCAGGAGAGGAGAGUAGAAUUCCUAGUGUAGCGGUGAAAUGCGUAGAUAUUAGGAGGAAUACCAGUUGCGAAGGCGGCUCUCUGGACUGUAACUGACACUGAGGCACGAAAGCGUGGGGAGCAAACAGG
rnacentral:rRNA from 1 species